CGCUGACACUUGUGCUUCGUGCAGUUUUUAUUCAGUGUCCAUUUAUCUCAAUAUUCUUUGUAUUGGUGACGAUCACAAUGGGUGAUCUUGCCGCAAUCGCCGUGAAUCUUAUCGGAGGCAUCGUGCUGUACGGUACGGGUGGACUCCUGCUCCCUAUCGUGUCGCCGUUGUUGGGUUUCAGUAGCGCUGGCAUCGCUGCUGGCUCACUGGCUGCGACUGCGCAGGCCUACUACGGUAACCUGGCCGCCGGCUCCAUUAUAUCGCAGCUUACAGCUGCAGCUAUGGUUGCCCCCACACCUUAAACUUUCACAACAUUCACAAUGUUUCAGUGAACAUGUGAAAUAAAGGUGAAAUACAAUGGA